rnacentral:lncRNA from 1 species
AGAAAUAACAGGAAGAAGAGAUUAGUGAUAACUAAGAGGCAGCUGAUCAGACUCAUGAGUGAACAUGACCAAAAAUAGAAAGGCUGGCCACCAGAGUCCAGACAAACUGCUGAUCCACAGAACAGUUUCUGGUGCAGAGCUUCUAAAACCCCUGGAGUUUCCUGAUUGAAGGAUGUCUGUUAAGUAAAUGAG